GGAUUAGAUACCCUGGUAGUCCACGCCGUAAACGAUGUCUACUAGCCGUUGGGAAGCUUGUCUUCCAAGUGGCGCAGCUAACGCGAUAAGUAGACCGCCUGGGGAGUACGGUCGCAAGAUUAAAACUCAAAUGAAUUGACGGGGGCCCGCACAAGCGGUGGAGCAUGUGGUUUAAUUCGAAGCAACGCGAAGAACCUUACCUGGUCUUGACAUCCUGCGAACGCUUUAGAGACAAAGCGGUGCCUUCGGGAGCGCAGAGACAGGUGCUGCAUGGCUGUCGUCAGCUCGUGUUG
rnacentral:rRNA from 1 species